rnacentral:rRNA from 1 species
ACGAACGCUGGCGACGUGCUUAACACAUGCAAGUCGAACGGAAAGGCCCUGCUUUUGUGGGGUGCUCGAGUGGCGAACGGGUGAGUAACACGUGAGUAACCUGCCCUUGACUUUGGGAUAACUUCAGGAAACUGGGGCUAAUACCGGAUAGGAGCUCCUGCUGCAUGGUGGGGGUUGGAAAGUUUCGGCGGUUGGGGAUGGACUCGCGGCUUAUCAGCUUGUUGGUGGGGUAGUGGCUUACCAAGGCUUUGACGGGUAGCCGGCCUGAGAGGGUGACCGGCCACAUUGGGACUGAGAUACGGCCCAGACUCCUACGGGAGGCAGCAGUGGGGAAUAUUGCACAAUGGGCGGAAGCCUGAUGCAGCAACGCCGCGUGCGGGAUGACGGCCUUCGGGUUGUAAACCGCUUUCGCCUGUGACGAAGCGUGAGUGACGGUAAUGGGUAAAGAAGCACCGGCUAACUACGU